GUCAAUUAAAUAAACUGACUAUUUAACAGGAUACACAAUGUCAUUAAAAUACGUAACUAAUUUAUCAACCUAUUAAUAAAAAAAAUUAAGAAAUUAUUCGUUUGGAUAUUAGUAUAAAUGGAGGAGUUGGGGGGUGACGCUGCUUCAGUGGCAUUACAUGUACAACAACGUGCGAAUGAGGCAUGGACUGGCGCAUUUAAGGUUUCCGUCAACUCUCAAUUCGGUUUCCGUCUGAAAUUUUGUGCCAUUCACAUAGUUAACUCCUUCCGUAGAUUUUUCCUCUUGUUCGAUCGUCUCAACCUCUUCGGUAAAAUGAACCGCUUUCUUACCCACAAGUAGACUGUGAACCAAAUUGAUCUUAGCAUUAACCUCCGCAAAUUGGUUGCAUGUGAUCGUGCCUGCUAGCUUCUUUCUAUCGAAUUCUGUGUUCUUCGUACCGUUUCUUAGAGUAAGUUCUCAAUCAAAGCUAUAAAAUCUUCAGGGAAAUGUGUGUUGAAGUUCUCGUUGCUUGCAGCAUCUAGAGCAAUUUGGUAUCGCUUACAAGGUUCAUAUAUGUUCUCACAUGAGAUUUAUGUAUCUCUUCAUAAGUUAGUUUUCCUGGUUUUUAUAAUCUAAUAGUUUUUUAUAAGAUUGGUUUCUUGUUUAACUUUUCUUUGUUUGUUUUGUUUUGUAUGAGUAUUCGUGAUCUUUCUCUAUGUGAUGUUAUCGUUUGUUUCGGUUAUUCACUUAUACGAUAUAAUCCCUUUUAUCUA